ACAUGCCUACAACAUAGCAUUAAUGUAGCGGAUCCCAUUAGAACUCUGCAGUUAAGUGUGUUGAGGCUAGACUGGUACUAGGAUGGGUGACCACUCGGGAAGUCCUAGUGUUUUACAUGCU
rnacentral:rRNA from 1 species